rnacentral:rRNA from 1 species
UACGUAGGGUGCGAGCGUUGCCCGGAUUUAUUGGGCGUAAAGGGCGCGUAGGCGGCCUUCUAAGUCGAACGUGAAAUCCCCGGGCUCAACCCGGGAACUGCGUCCGAUACUGGGAGGCUUGAAUCCGGGAGAGGGAUGUGGAAUUCCAGGUGUAGCGGUGAAAUGCGUAGAUAUCUGGAGGAACACCGGUGGCGAAGGCGGCAUCCUGGACCGGUAUUGACGCUGAUGCGCGAAAGCCAGGGGAGCAAACGGG